rnacentral:rRNA from 1 species
GAUGAACGCUGACAGAAUGCUUAACACAUGCAAGUCUUUGGCGAAGCUGUGCUCGCACAGCCUAGCCAAGGCGGACGGGUGAGUAACGCGUAAGGAACUUGCCCUGCAGUCAGGGAUAACAGACGGAAACGACUGAUAAGACCUGGUAAAGUCAGGCGGACUCAUGUCCAGCCUGAUGAAAAGAGAUGCUGCAGGAGAGCCUUGCGUCCUAUUAGCUUGUUGGUGGGGUAACGGCCCACCAAGGCGAUGAUAGGUAGCCGGCCUGCGAGGGUGGACGGCCACAAGGGGACUGAGAUACGGCCAUUACUCCUACGGGAGGCAGCAGUGGGGAAUAUUGGACAAUGGGGGCAACCCUGAUCCAGCAAUUCUGUGUGCACGAUGAAGGUUUUCGGAUUGUAAAGUGCUUUCAGCAGGGAAGAAAAAAAUGACGGUACCUGCAGAAGAAGCGACGGCUAAAUACGUG